AGUGUUACGCCCGGUCCCUUUCCGAACCCGGUAGCUAAGCCUGCCAGCGCUGAUGGUACUGCACCUUUGCGGGUGUGGGAGACUAAGACGCUGCCACAC
rnacentral:rRNA from 1 species